rnacentral:rRNA from 1 species
UACGUAGGGGGCAAGCGUUGUCCGGAUUUACUGGGCGUAAAGCGCACGUAGGCGGCUUUGUAAGUUAGAGGUGAAAGCCCAGGGCUUAACCCUGGAAUUGCCUUUAAGACUGCAUCGCUAGAAUCGUGGAGAGGUGAGUGGAAUUCCGAGUGUAGAGGUGAAAUUCGUAGAUAUUCGGAAGAACACCAGUGGCGAAGGCGACUCACUGGACACGUAUUGACGCUGAGGUGCGAAAGCGUGGGGAGCAAACAGG